ensembl:lncRNA
GUUGAGGCUACUGUAGACCUUCAUUGCAAAACAGUGUGUUUUAAUCAGUUAUUUGGUGACAUGUGAAUAUAUUUAGUAUAGUAUCAUCUUAAAAGGAUAACCUUUAGAACUUUUCACUCUUUUCCAUGAAAUGACUGAGAAGGAUGGUCCUCCCCUCCUCUGAGGAGGAGCCUCCGCUGCAUUAGAUAGAUAUCUGUGUAUGUGUGUUCUGUAGGAGUGCUGAGUAAAGUAUGGCUACAGAGGAAAAGGGAGAGAAGGAGAGAGAAGAGGAAAAGAGAGAGGGAUGGAAGGAAGGCUGGCUAUCAGAACUGUUUCUUAGAAAGUAUUGACAUUGGCCUGAUUCUCAAAGUUAUUUUAUUUUGAAAGCAAGCCAGGGCCACCUCUCCCCCUUGCCCUCUCUCUUUCUCUGUACAGUGUGUCUGUACAGUAUGAAACAGACUAUUUUUCAAUGGCCACUGUUAAAUCCACUCAGCACAGUAUGAAUUGCUUGACUCUUUUCCAUGUACCUUACAGAUUCUGUCUCAUUGUUGGACCUUUUACCUAUUUAGCAAAGGGAAAUGUUAAGGUGAUAGAGCUUGUGAGAAGGGAAUAAAGUGCAACGAUUAUACAAUGAUUGUGUUUACUUUUCUUCCAAACCAAUGGGGUGAUGAUGAUGCAAAACCAUCUGUUUUAAAGUUCAUGGGUUUAUGGGAGAAAUGUUCCUAGUACACUGCAGUUGGCAACGUGUUUCAUUGUGCUAUUUAUCAUUGGCCAACUUCAAUGCUGUUUCUCAAUUCGAAACAUUCUUUGUUGUUUUUGUCAUGGAAAAAAUACUUUAGUCUUUUUGGAGCUGUCUCGUCUUGGCCUUACAUUUGAAAGUUUACGUUUGCAAACCUUUUUUUAUCAGGAAUAUUUUCUUUUGAAAAGAUAAGGUAUCAUUUUUGUAAACAUGUUUUUUUUUAAGAAAGGCACUUUAUUUAAAAGCUUAAGUAAAUAAUAUACAUGUAUAUACAAACUCAUAAGGAAAUAUAUACUGUAUGUAAUACACAGUGCAGUGUACCAACAUCUUUGUAAAUUGUUCUGUUUUUAUAGCUAAUUGUAAAGGGUAUGUACUUUUUUCAGCAUAUGUCAUGUUUUUUAUCUCGGUCUUAGAUACAUUUUUUUGUAUAGUAUUUAUUGAAAUGAAUCGUAUGAAGAUGCACUAUUGAGAGCAUCCCCAAUGUGGUCUCUGUUACAUGAAAAGGGAAGGUGUUCACUCUAUACCAGUGUUUCUCCCAUUGAUAUAGAACAUUGAUACACCCCUAGUAUGUGGACUGUUACUGUUUCUAACCAGUCCCUCAGAUGGUUAGCUAACAACGAUUUAAUCAGUUCUCAAUUGCUAGCGUUAGGCCUAGAUUCACUAGAUCCGUGUUAACUCACUUUACAUUUAAAGGUCAUUUCUAUUGAGACGACAUCUGCAUUUACCUUGAUGCGAUCUUCACUUAAUCGGUAACAUUGCCUUUAAUAACAGCCGUAAUCUCAGAGAUCACAUAAAAGGUUGAGAAACACUGCUCUCUAACACCACACCACACCAUGUAACUCAAUCAAACAACUGCUCAGCAUUCUUCUCUGUGACUUAUAAAUGUGCUGUGACAAAAUAUAAUAAAUUUAACUUUGCC